GGAAUGAAACCAAACAUGGCAUGAAUGUUCCUUAUGAGGUGCUCACCAAGUGUUGUUACUUUGUAGCCGAUCCAUCAUCCAAGAUGGCCGCCAGCGGGGGACUUAGUUUAACAUAGGACCCUUUGGGAAAUGCAUACAAAUGACUUCUUUUAGAGAACCACUGAAUGGAAUGAAACCAAACAUGGCAUGAAUGUUCCUUAUGAGGUGCUGACCAAGUGUUGUUACUUUGUAGCCGAUCCAUCAUCCAAGAUGGCCGCCAGCGGGGGACUUAGUUUAACAUAGGACCCUAUGGGAAAUGCAUACGAAUGACUUCUUUUAGAGAACCACUGAAUGGAAUAAAACCAAACAUGGCAUGAAUGUUCCUUAUGAGGUGCUGACCAUGUGUUGUUACUUUGUAGCCGAUCCAUCAUCCAAGAUGGCCGCCAUCGGGGAACUUAGUUUAACAUAGGACCCUAUGGGAAAUACAUACAAAUGUCUUCUUUUAGAGAACCACUGAAUGGAAUAAAACCAAACUUGGCAUGAAUGUUCCUUAUGAGGUGCUGACCAAGUGUUGUUACUUUGUAGCCGAUCCAUCAUCCAAGAUGGCCGCCAGCGGGGGACUUAGUUUAACAUAGGACCCUAUGGGAAAUGCAUACAAAUGACUUCUUUUAGAGAACCACUGAAUGGAAUGAAACCAAACAUGGCAUGAAUGUUCCUUAUGAGGUGCUGACCAUGUGUUGGUACUUUGUAGCCGAUCCAUCAUCCAAGAUGGCCGCCAUCGGGGAACUUAGUUUAACAUAAGACCCUAUGGGAAAUACAUACAAAUGUCUUCUUUUAGAGAACCACUGAAUGGAAUGAAACCAAACAUGGCAUGAAUGUUCCUUAUGAGGUGCUGACCAAGUGUUGUUUCUUUGUAGCCGAUCCAUCAUCCAAGAUGGCCGCCAGCGGGGGACUUAGUUUAACAUAGGACCCUAUGGGAAAUACAUAAAAUUGUCUUCUUUUAGAGAACCACUGAAUGGAAUGAAACCAAACAUGGCAUGAAUGUUCCUUAUGAGGUGCUGACCAAGUGUUGUUACUUUGCAGGCGGUCCAUCAUCCAAGAUGGCCGACAGCAGGGGACUUAGUUUAACAAAGGACCUAUGGGAAAUACAUACAAAUGUCUUCUUUUAGAGAACCACUGAAUGGAAUGAAACCAAACAUGGCAUGAAUCUUCCUUAUGAGAUGCUGACCAAGUGUUGUUACUUUGUAGCCGAUCCAUCAUCCAAGAUGGCCGCCAGGGGGGACUUAGUUUUACAUAGGACCCUUUGGGAAAUACAUAAAAAUGUCUUCUUUUAGAGAACCAAUAAAUGGAAUGGAACCAAACAUGGCAUGAAUGUUUCUUAUGAGAUGUUGACCAAGUGUUGUUACUUUGCAGCCGAUCCAUCAUCCAAGAUGGCCGACAGCGGGGGACUUAGUUUAACAUAGGACCCUAUGGGAAAUACAUACAAUUGUCUUCUUUUAGAGAACCACUGAAUGGAAUUGAACCAAACAUGGCAUGAAUGUUCCUUAUGAGUUGCUGACCAAGUGUUGUUACUUUGCAGUCGAUCCAUCAUCCAAGAUGGCCGCUAGGGGGGGGGGGCUUAGUUUAACAUAGGACCCUAUGGGAAAUACAUACAAAUGUCUUCUUUUAGAGUACCACUGAAUGGAAUGAAACCAAACAUGGCAUGAAUGUUCCUUAUGAAGUGCUGACCAAGUGUUGCUACUUUGUUGCCGAUUUACUGUUCAAGAUGGCCACCAGGAUAUUUUAUUAAAUAACGGGACCAAUAUUAAUCAAAAUUUGGCCUCAAUCAUUAUUUGGGUAUCUGUUAUGAUUUUUAUCUAUCUUUACAUGAUUUCUAAAACCAAAGUAGAGUCAGGUGAGCGACACAGGCUCUUGAGAGCCUCU